AUGAGGUCACAUCCUCCUGGUCAUGUCCACACCAAGGGGUUAAUAUGAGGUCACAUCCUCCUGGUCAUGUCCACACCAAGGGGUUAAUAUGAGGUCACAUCCUCCUGGUCAUGUCCACACCAAGGGGUUAAUAUGAGGUCACAUCCUCCUGGUCAUGUCCACACCAAGGGGUUAAUAUGAGGUCACAUCCUCCUGGUCAUGUCCACACCAAGGGGUUAAUAUGAGGUCACAUCCUCCUGGUCAUGUCCACA